AUUGAACGCUGGCGGCAGGCUUAACACAUGCAAGUCGAGCGAGCGGCGGACGGGUGAGUAAUGUCUGGGAAACUGCCUGAUGGAGGGGGAUAACUACUGGAAACGGUAGCUAAUACCGCAUACCAUCAGAUGAUCCCAGAUGGGAUUAGCUAGUAGGUGGGGUAAUGGCUCACCUAGGCGCCGAUCCCUAGCUGGUCUGAGAGGAUGACCAGCCACACUGGAACUGAGACACGGUCCAGACUCCUACGGGAGGCAGCAGUGGGGAAUAUUGCACAAUGGGCGCAAGCCUGAUGCAGCCAUGCCGCGUGUAUGAAGAAGGCCUUCGGGUUGUAUAGCACUUUCAGCGAGGAGGCGUUACUCGCAGAAGAAGCACCGGCUAACUCCGGGCCAGCAGCGGCGGUAAUAC
rnacentral:rRNA from 1 species